GACGAACGCUGGCGGCGUGCUUAACACAUGUAAGUCGAACGGAAAGUCCCUGCUUGCAGGGUUCUCGAGUGGCGAACGGGUGAGUAACACGUUGGUGAUCUGCCCCUUACUUUGGGAUAAGCCUGUUAAACUGGGUCUAAUACUGGAUAGGUCCAUGCUGUAUGUGGUGUGGUUUAAAGAUUUGUUUCGUUAAUGUAUGAGCUCUCGUCCUAUCAGCUUGUUGGUGGGGUAAUGGCCUACCAAGGCGUCGACGGGUAGCCGGCCUGAGAGGGUGGACGGCAACAUUGGGACUGAGAUACGGCCCAGAGUCCUACAAGAGGCAGCAGUGGGGAAAAUUGCACAAUGGGCGCAAGCAUGAUGGAGAGAAGCGGCGUGGGGGAUGACGGACUUCGGGUUGUAAACACCUUGCAGCCAUGAGGAAGGCCUUGUGGUGACGGUAGUGGUAGAAGAAGCACCGGCUAACUACGUG
rnacentral:rRNA from 1 species